rnacentral:rRNA from 1 species
AUUGAACGCUGGCGGCAUGCUUUACACAUGCAAGUCGAACGGUAACAGGCCGCAAGGUGCUGACGAGUGGCGAACGGGUGAGUAAUGCAUCGGAACGUGCCCAGUCGUGGGGGAUAACUACUCGAAAGAGUAGCUAAUACCGCAUACGAUCUAUGGAUGAAAGCGGGGGACCGUAAGGCCUCGCGCGAUUGGAGCGGCCGAUGUCAGAUUAGGUAGUUGGUGGGGUAAAGGCUCACCAAGCCAACGAUCUGUAGCUGGUCUGAGAGGACGACCAGCCACACUGGGACUGAGACACGGCCCAGACUCCUACGGGAGGCAGCAGUGGGGAAUUUUGGACAAUGGGCGCAAGCCUGAUCCAGCAAUGCCGCGUGCAGGAAGAAGGCCUUCGGGUUGUAAACUGCUUUUGUACGGAACGAAACGGCUCUGGUUAAUACCCGGGGCUAAUGACGGUAUCGUAAGAAUAAGCACCGGCUAACUACGUG